rnacentral:rRNA from 1 species
UACGUAGGGUGCGAGCGUUAAUCGGAAUUACUGGGCGUAAAGCGUGCGCAGGCGGUUCGUUAAGACAGAUGUGAAAUCCCCGGGCUUAACCUGGGAACUGCAUUUGUGACUGGCGAGCUAGAGUAUGGCAGAGGGGGGUAGAAUUCCACGUGUAGCAGUGAAAUGCGUAGAGAUGUGGAGGAAUACCGAUGGCGAAGGCAGCCCCCUGGGCCAAUACUGACGCUCAUGCACGAAAGCGUGGGAAGCAAACAGG